GGAGGCUGGGGCAUUUUUCUGCUGCGCUGGCCUGCAUCUGCCUUUCGAGUAGCCCUAGAGGCCUAACGCUUGAGGUCACCUUCAUGGUUUUUCCAGUGACCUUGGCCAUUAAUGAGCUCCCACCGCUUCCCCAGCUGCAGCUGUAUUAUAGCGCCAGAGUCUUCCAAGCCUGCAGGUUGUGCCAAGCCUGGAGGGAUUUGCAAAAGUGGCUCUCCCAGAGAGGCUGCUCUCUUUGCUGGAAUUUGCCUUGUUCUCUCCUCACUGCUGAAGCACUGUCACUGCGUCCUAAAAAAACACCACAGUAUUUCUUUAUAGCAGCGCAAGAACAGACUCAUACAGGAUCACUGCAUGUGGAAUCAGCUUCCAGGACUGUGAAACAAGACAUUUCUUUGGUUCAAGCCACUCCCUUAGUGCACAUUGUUAUGGCAGCCAUGGAAAACCAUCCACAGAGGGUCAGUUCCUAUGGAGGUGGGGUGAGUGACGAGAUGUUCCUGACUGGGCUGACAACGGAGGACGAGAGAGCUUGGGUGUGGAUGGGAAAAUAACUAGAAACUUCCCUUGAUCUCUCAGCAUUCUGUUCCAUCCCUGUCACUUCGAUGUCUCUCUUUCUUGAAUAUGGAAGCAGCCCUGGGCCCAGCUGCUGCAGGUGGCCAGGAAGGAGCCUGGGAGGAUGACGGGGUUCCUGAUCUGAUAGAACUGGGCUGUGACUAGGCAGAACCCUGUUCCACCACACACACCCCAGUGGAGGACGUUCUGUAUCUGUGAUGAAUGACCCCUGCAUACAUUAUAUCUUUCAGUAAAAACAGUGGUGUUUCAGUAGUGUUACUAGCUAAGCUGCUUAACUCUCACAUUACAGACGUCAGUGAAGCCCCUUGGUAGGUAGUGUCUAAAAUUAGAUUUAUCUGCUUAUUUACACAAUUAUACUCUCAUGAGUUUGAAUGUUGGGGAAAGAUCAAGAAAAAGACCAGAUCACUAGAUGGCAAUAGCACACAAGAGCUUUAUUUGGAUGAAGCUUGGACAGAAUGCAUGGAAGGGGAAAGUCCCUUGCAGCAGAAGACCUUCCAGAGGCAGUGGCAGGGCCACCACCAGAAGAAAAGGGCAAGGACACUCCCAGGGGAGAGGAGGAUCAGAGAGGAGGUUACAGGUCUAAGAGAUGUCACAGGUCUAGAAGAAAAGAAAAGGAGCCAGGUGCAGUGGCUCACACCUGUAAUCCCAGCACUUUGGGAGGCCCAGGCGGGCAGAUUGCUGAGUUCAGGAGUUUGAGACCAGCCUAGGCAAACAUGGUGAAACCCCAUCUCUAAAAAAAGAUUUAAAAAUUAACCAGGCCUGGUGGCAUGUACCUGAAGUCUCAUUUACUUGGGGGGCUAAGGCUGGAGGAUCGUUUGAACCCAAGAGGGUUCAUGGUGGGGAGCAUCAUGGUGAGGAGUCUCUGGGUCAGAGAGCUCCAAAGGACAGCAGCCAUUUGGGGUCUUUUGUAGCCCUGAGGUUCGUCUUACCUAUGGUGAGAGGGUGUCGGGUGUAGUUUUGCAAAUUAUCGAAGCAGGCAGGCUCUAAAUGGGCAAAUAAUAUUUGGCCUACAUUUAAAGCAAUUGGAUGUGCAAGAAUUUGAGUUUGGUGCUGGCAGGCUUGAGUUAACGGUCCUGGGCUGUGGUGUGGAAGUAAACAGCAUGGGGGCCAAUACACAGGGGCUGUCUUGAACUCGUUCAUACAAUCCAUUUAUAACCUGUUUAUAACUUGUUUAUAACCCAUUUAUACCACAUACCCCUAAAGCAAAUACCUAGCAGAUAGCAUGCAGGGCCUAUUUGCCUGGCCUCCUUCAAUGGCAUCACAUUCUCCACCACCACGAUGGUUAAUAUGGACGAGCCCUAGCAGCUGCCCAGUGAAGUCCACACGCUACUGCCCAAACCAGCUCAAGUCCUUAGUUGUCAUGAAAAUAAUGUGAGUUCCCACAGCCGUAAAAGGGAAAGCAGCAAGAGCCACAUGAGCAUCCCCGGAACCCUGGGAACAGUCAUCAGUGUCAUCUUCAGGGUCAUGUCCCUACAAGCAGUUCUCAGGCUCCUGCUGAGGGUCAGAACAGAGCCGAAGUCACAGGAUAUCAAAAAUGGAUAAGCCCAACCUCAGCUCGCAGAGGAAUUGCUCAGCUGACAGAUGAUUGUGUUAUCUCAGUGAAGCCAGAUGACAAUGUACUUGGCCAACGGAACAUCUUGGUCAAUGGAUCUCCAAGUUGGUUAUAAAAUUAAAGCAAAAUAAUGCCAUUAUAUGUAAGAUGUCAUUGAUUGUAAGAUGCUCCUUUAUUU
rnacentral:lncRNA from 1 species